UUCAAGCAGCUCUCUGAAGUCUGCUAACAUUGCUUAGCCUUCCAAAAACUCCUCGCUUACAAAGUAAAUCGGCCUGCAUCUUGCUUUUUCUUGCGCAGGCCAUUUCUAGGUUGCAUUAUGGUUGUGUGUUGCCCUUGAGGCAGAGGAGCAGGCACAGCAAUGCUCUGAGGUUUCCAAGGGAGGAGGGGUUUUGCAGCGAGCUUGGGAAAAGCAGAGCAAGAUCAAGAGCCAGAUUGCACCAGCCACCGACUGCCCCAAGGUGAUAAGAAAUACUAACAGAUGGCCAGGCAGGGAUAAGUCUGGCUCCUGCUUUUGAUAUUCAGCUGCAAAACAGAAAAAAUAGGAAAAUGUAGAGUGCUCUGCCCAGCCCACAGAAACACCCGGUCUGUAACAGAGAGGCACAGGACAGAGAAGUCCCGGGACAGGACUGGAAAGCAAGUGCAUGGCUAGCUUGUCAUCCCGUUUCUGUUCACUCUGCGCUUGAUUUUUUAAUCUAAAUUUGCUGCUAUAUGUUUAUGUGAGCCAGUUCAAUCCACAUCUCCUGGCUCAUCUCUACCUGAACAUUUCUAUGGCUUGUCAUUUGCUGUCAUCUCCUCUGAUUCUUCCUGUGGCAACUUUUGGGGGUGUUUUUUAGUUUGUUUGGUUUUUAUUUUGCUUUGCUGUUGUUGUUGUUGGAUUUUUUGUUUGGUUGUGGGUUUUUUGUUGUUUUUGUUUGUUUGUUUGUUUUUCUGUGAAACACCCACCCAAAGUAAACACUACGGAAAUCAAUUUAAUUCCUUGUCAUAGCAAGCUGUGGAAGGUCUCGCUGGCUGCAGCUCUAACGCUGACAGAGAGGCACUCACCGCCACGAGCUUUUCAUACAGCAAGAGCUGCGAGACCUGGAGCUCCAAGCACAGUGAUGCUGGGACAAGGAGCAAGGAAUGCCCCUGGGAGUAAGCUGCAGGAGGGGAAAAACACAGUGCACUGCUCCACAAUGGGGUGGGCAGGUCACGAGGACAAGCAGUCUGGUAAGAUCUGCUACAUGGGAACUGUAACAACUGUCCAGCUGUUUUGCUCCUUCCCUGCUGAGGACUCAAAUCCCAUCUCUGCUCCUCCAUGUUUGCUGUGUCAUUGGAGAGGCUGAAAGGCAGAUAAUGCAUGAGCACUUGGAGAUGGAACCAAGGGAAGAAAGUCCAGUGUGUGGCUCCCAUGUCUCCUGAGCACAGCGCCUGGCCGGGACAGCAGUGUGCUUCUUCCCUGCAUCAGGAAUUAGGCAAAAGCCACAGUGUCACCAGCUGCUUCUUGUCACAUGAUGCUCCAGCUUAUGACUAUAUUGAUAUUUUGCACAGAAGCAUCAGACAUCUGACUGCCUGGUUUGACUGCAGGGGGAUGGCAAUAGGAAUUGAUGUGACUGAAACAGAUUCAGAAAGACUUCUGUAAAGAAUGGUAAAACCGGAAAAAUAUUUGCUGUUUCUUUGAGGAACUGAUUAAUGGUUCCUCUCCCUCUGUCCUCAGCUGCUGUCUCCUUCUGUUUCCUGCUGAUGUGGAGACGACUGUGUGGGUUUGGUGACUGCUUUGGUGUACACAGGGCUCACUGUAAAAGGCCUGAGCUUGGAGACGUCUCCCAAAAUCUGUAAUGUUUUAUCUAAACUUUCUCAUGUUUGCAGAUGUAGUUUUCCCUGCUUGCAAAUAUGAAACAAACAAGUAAACCAACCCAGCUUUAAAAAGAAAUAUAAACUUUUUCCUAAAGUUACAAUCUUCCUCUGGGGUAGCAAAGCAACUGAGAGGCCUUCACCCUUCAGUGUAACCUUCACGUAUUUUCAGACCGUAAAACUCCUGCUGGGUUUUAAGGCCUGGUUGUGCUGGACAGACAUAGCAAAAAAACCUGUUUCUCUUAGUAAUUUCUCACCACCUCCUCCGAUCACGUCCAGUUCCCAUCCAACCUUCUCACUGCAGAAGUAAACCUUGCCAACCACUAAACUCUUACCUCAGCGCUCAUCAGAAGACAUGUAGCGCUAUAACCUAAACACAACCCCUCAAGUGUUAAGUGGCUCUCAGACUGCUUCUGCUCACUCUCAAUUACCUCUUCACCAAGUUUUCAUACCUCUUUUUCCCAUUUUUUUUUGCUGUUGGUUCAUUUGUUUACCUUCUCUGAGGCAAGCCUUUCUGCUGCAGUGCUGGAGGCUGUUGCUUGAAGUGAACAUGAUGCUCAGGCACGUUCAAAAGAUUAGCUGGCUUGGACUUCUGCACCUGCUACAACUUCAGACCUUUCUCCACUCUAUCAUAGUACUUCCUUUUCACAAAAAUAAUUAAAAUAAAAUUAUUUUCAGACCAGUGUUUUCUGUUUAUCUCCUUUUCUCCCUGACAGAUUCAUGUCUUCUCUGCACUUCUUUUCUCUCUGAAAUAUUUUAUUUUCUGGAAAAGCAGCUGGAAAGAGUUGUUUUCCUUUUAGACCUUAACAUUUAGAUCUUGUUGUUCUCAGAGAUUGGCAGGCAUCUCAGGGGAGGCUGUUUGCACCUAGAAAACGACCAGUCUCUCCAGUCUAAGUGUGCUGAAAGGCUUUGCUUCUCUGGCAGGUGCUUGAGGCUUGGCCCUUAGUUCCUCCCAGCUUGGUGCGAUGGAGCAGACUGUUUUCAUGCACAUAUGCCACAUCAUAGGCUUGUGAAUGGUUUCUGAUAUCACGCUGGUUUGAUGAGCUGGAAAAAGAGAAGAAGGCUGAUGUGAGUCUGAAGUGACAUCUCUGACAAGCUGGUGGAAAAUUAAGAGUCAGGUUUCAGCUUAUCACCUGUUUGAGCUCUUCCACAUGUCCAAGAUGGGUGACGAUGGGUUCUCUGACUUCCUGUGACAGGCAGCACAGCUUUGUUUGCUGUGCAGCUUUGGAAAACAUUUGGGUAGGAUGCCUGGCUCUGUGUUGCUUCUUGGGAGUACAUGGUGGGAAGAAAAGCCAAUUCUUCUUCCAAGAGACAUCUGGUUGUGCUCUGACAUCUGAGGAGAUGGUGGCAUGGUGGGACAAUCUCUUCUUUCCACUCAGUAGAUGUU